AAUAUUGCGCGAUGGGGGAAACCCUGACGCAGCGACGCCGCGUGGGUGAUGAAGGCCUUCGGGUCGUAAAGCCCUGUCGGAGGGGACGAAGGACUGUCUUGCGAAUAGUUCGAUGGUCUGACGUUACCCUUAGAGGAAUCACCGGCUAACUCCGUGCCUGCAGCCGCGGUAAUACGGAGGGUGCAAGCGUUGUUCGGAAUUACUUGGCGUAAAGGGCGUGUAGGAGGUUUCGUAUGUCUGGCGUGAAAGCCCCGGGCUCACCCCGGGAAGUGCGCUGGAAACUGCGAGACUAGAGUCCCGGAGAGGGAGGUGGAAUUCCAGGUGUAGCGGUGAAAUGCGUAGAUAUCUGGAAGAACAACGGUGGCGAAGGCGGCCUCCUGGACGGUGACUGACGCUGAGACGCGAAAGCGUGGGGAGCAAACAGG
rnacentral:rRNA from 1 species